rnacentral:tRNA from 1 species
GGAGGCUUCGCCUAGUCUGGUCUAUGGCGCCGCACUGCUAAUGCGGUUGGGGGUGACCCCCCUCCCGGGUUCAAAUCCCGGAGCCUCCGCCG